rnacentral:rRNA from 1 species
UACAGAGGUCUCAAGCGUUGUUCGGAUUCAUUGGGCGUAAAGGGUGCGUAGGCGGGUCUUUAAGUCAGGGGUGAAAUCCUGGAGCUCAACUCCAGAACUGCCUUUGAUACUGAAGAUCUUGAGUUCGGGAGAGGUGAGUGGAACUGCGAGUGUAGAGGUGAAAUUCGUAGAUAUUAGGAAGAACACCGGUGGCGAAGGCGGCCCACUGGUCCGGUACUGACGCUGAGGUGCGAAAGCGUGGGGAGCAAACAGG